CGCGGCCUAUCAGCUUGUUGGCGGGGUAACGGCCCACCAAGGCAACGACGGGUAGCUGGUUUGAGAGAACGAUCAGCCACACUGGGACUGAGACACGGCCCAGACUCCUACGGGAGGCAGCAGUGGGGAAUCUUGCGCAAUGGGCGAAAGCCUGACGCAGCAACGCCGCGUGCGGGAUGACGGCCUUCGUGGUUGUAAACCGCUUUCAGCAGGGACGAAAAUGACGGUACCUGCAGAAGAAGCCCCGGCUAACUACGUGCCAGCAGCCGCGGUAAUACGUAGGGGGCAAGCGUUGUCCGGAAUCAUUGGGCGUAAAGAGCUCGUAGGCGGUUCAGUAAGUCGGGUGUGAAAGCUCCGAGCUCAUCUCGGAGAGGCCACUCGAUACUGCUGUGACUAGAAUCCAGUGGGGGAGUGUGGAAUUCCUGGUGUAGCGGUGAAAUGCGCAGAUAUCAGGAGGAACACCAGCGGCGAAGGCGGCACUCUGGGCUGGUAUUGACGCUGAGGAGCGAAAGUGUGGGUAGCAAACAGGAUUAGAUACCCUGGUAGUCCACACCGUAAACGUUGGGCACUAGGUGUGGGGAGGAUCAACCCUUUCCGUGCCGUAGCUAACGCAUUAAGUGCCCCGCCUGGGGAGUACGG
rnacentral:rRNA from 1 species